rnacentral:lncRNA from 1 species
UCCGUAGAUAAGGAGCGUGCGUUGAAGAAAUUAGGAAAGGUAUUCUGCUCAGCUUAUCCGUGGAUCAGGAGCGCACGUUGGAGAACCAAAAGACGUGUUUCGCUCAGCUUGUCCGUGAAUAAGGAGUGCGCAUUGGAGAACUGAGAGAUGUGUUCCAUUCAGUUCGUCCGUAGAUGAGGAGCAAGAAUCAGGAGACGCAUCUCG